rnacentral:tRNA from 9 species
GGGCUCAUAGUUCAGUGGCAGAACGCUUCGUUGACAUCGAAGAGGUGGGAGGUUCAAUUCCUCCUGAGCCCACCC